rnacentral:snRNA from 1 species
UGUGCAAUGCUUCGGAAGGA